GACAGUAUAGCUUAGUGGUAGACAUGUGCUUAGUAUGCACGAGGUCCUGGGUUCAAUCCCUAGUACCUCCA
rnacentral:tRNA from 1 species